CCAAAGGUUUAGUUACCCUGCGCGGCAGCGGCUGCACCGCGCAUGCGCGACACCGACCAGACUCGUAAAAUGGCGGCGCGCCCGACUGUUCUGCUCUCCGCGCUCAUCUUCUGCCUAUAUGGGUGUCAUGCAGCUCGGGGCGAGUGCAGCAACGUGACGCUGCUGUCCACGCAGGUGGACACGCUGCUGGCGGAGUACGACCGCGACGCGGCGCCGGCGCAGCGCGUGCUCGUCACGCUCGCGCUCGACGUGCGUCACGCCGCCGUCGACGAGCCGCGCGCCGUCAUGCGCCUGCUGGCCGACCUCAAGAUGUCGUGGCAGGAGCCGCGCGUGAAGUGGAACGCGUCGGAGUGGGGCUGCGGCACCGCGCCGACGGCGGUGGAGCGGCUGUGGCGGCCCGACAUCGAGCUGCUGAAUGCCGCCGCCACCAACCUGGGCGACGCGGGGCUGCGCGCGCGCCUCGACGCCGUCGGCGCAGUGUACUGGAUCUCCCGCCUCGACGUCACCGUGCCGCUCGACCUCGCGCUCCAUGACUGGCCCAGCGACGUACAAUCCUGCACCUUUAAAUUCGGAUCCAGAAUCUACAAUGAUGAUGAGUUGGUCCUGGACAUCAGUGAGUUCAAACACGCGGUGGUGUUCGAGGCAGGCGCGUGGGAGAUCCAGUCGGUGUCGGGCGCGGCGGGCGCGUGGCGGCGCGGCGACGCGGACGUGAGCACGGCGGCGUGGACCGUGCGCGUGAGCCGGCGCGCGCCCGCGCACGCGCUCGCCGCGGGCACCGUGCUGGUGGCCGCCGCCCUGCUGCUGCUGGCCGCCGCCGCGUUGCCGCCGCUGCAGCGCCCCCCACUCGCGGCCGCAGCCUCCUUCAUAGCCGCGCUCUGGAUGAUCACGACGCUGGUGCGGCUGCCGGGCAGCAGCUCGUCGCCGCGCGCGCUGGCGGUGAUGUGCGGCGUGUGCGUGUGCGGCGCGCUCAGCGGCGCCUGCGCGGCGCUCGUGCUGCGCGUGGCGCGGCUCGGCACGCCACCGCCGCAGGCGCUGCGGACCCUGCUCUCCAGCCUCUCCACCGUGUGCAAGCUCACGCCAUCCCCUGAGUCGUGCGGGUCGUCGGAGAGCGGCGCGUGGGCGGCGCUGGCGCGGCUGCUGGACCGCGCGCUGUCGGCCGCGCUGCUGCUGACGCUGUUCGUGCUGCUGGCCGUGCAGCUCUUCUAGCGGCCCUCGACGACCCAUGUGCAGCCGGCGGACCACGUCAGUGCUAACUCUAACACUCUAGGACAAACUAGAAAAUGCUUCUAGAUGUGGUUCCAGCGGCGCGAGUGACGUAUAGCGUGCGCGGCGAGCUCGGCGGUCAGCAGGGUCAGGGAGAUGAGCGCGCCCAGACCCAACACCUGCGGUGGGAAACUGUAUCAUAAUCUACAGGCUAACUUCUUAUUGUGACUGUUGUGUGAAAUGUUUUUAUUGUGUUUUACUGUUCAAAUUAUAGUUAUUAGUAUUGUUCUACUGUUCAAAAUA
rnacentral:misc_RNA from 1 species